UAUGAAGUGCCUGAGUAAAAAGGGUAAUCUUGAUAGGGUUGAUCAUGUGUAUUACACCUUCAUAA
rnacentral:tRNA from 1 species